rnacentral:tRNA from 1 species
AACCGCGGCGGCUCAAUGGACAAGGCGUCUGACUUCGAAUCAGAAGAUUGAGGGUUCGAGUCCCUUCGUGGUUA